rnacentral:rRNA from 1 species
CGCUGGCGGCAGGCCUAACACAUGCAAGUCGAGCGGAUGAGAGGAGCUUGCUCCUUGAUUUAGCGGCGGACGGGUGAGUAAUGCCUAGGAAUCUGCCUGGUAGUGGGGGGUAACGUUCCGAAAGGAACGCUAAUACCGCAUACGUCCUACGGGAGAAAGCAGGGGACCUUCGGGCCUUGCGCUAUCAGAUGAGCCUAGGUCGGAUUAGCUAGUUGGUGAGGUAAUGGCUCACCAAGGCGACGAUCCGUAACUGGUCUGAGAGGAUGAUCAGUCACACUGGAACUGAGACACGGUCCAGACUCCUACGGGAGGCAGCAGUGGGGAAUAUUGGACAAUGGGCGAAAGCCUGAUCCAGCCAUGCCGCGUGUGUGAAGAAGGUCUUCGGAUUGUAAAGCACUUUAAGUUGGGAGGAAGGGCAGUAAGUUAAUACCUUGCUGUUUUGACGUUACCGACAGAAUAAGCACCGGCUAACUUCGUGCCAGCAGCCGCGGUAAUACGAAGGGUGCAAGCGUUAAUCGGAAUUACUGGGCGUAAAGCGCGCGUAGGUGGUUCGUUAAGUUGGAUGUGAAAGCCCCGGGCUCAACCUGGGAACUGCAUCCAAAACUGGCGAGCUAGAGUACGGUAGAGGGUGGUGGAAUUUCCUGUGUAGCGGUGAAAUGCGUAGAUAUAGGAAGGAACACCAGUGGCGAAGGCGACCACCUGGACUGAUACUGACACUGAGGUGCGAAAGCGUGG